GCACCAGUGGCGGAAUUGGUAGACGCGCUGGGUUUAGGUUCCAGUAUCAAUCGAUGUGAAGGUUCAAGUCCUUUCUGGUGCA
rnacentral:tRNA from 1 species